rnacentral:rRNA from 1 species
GGUCAAUGAGGGAACUCUGAACCAGCCAAUCCCGCGUGUAGGAAGACGGCCUUAUGGGUUGUAAACUACUUUUAUUACAGGAAGAAACGUACCCUCGUGAGGGUGCCUGACGGUACUGUAGGAAUAAGCACCGGCUAACUCCGUGCCAGCAGCCGCGGUAAUACGGAGGGUGCGAGCGUUAUCCGGAUUUAUUGGGUUAAAGGGUCCGUAGGCGGAUUAAUAAGUCAGUGGUGAAAUCCCAUCGCUUAACGAUGGAACUGCCAUUGAUACUGUUAGUCUUGAAUGAGGGUGCAGUGGUUGGAAUGUGUAGUGUAGCGGUGAAAUGCAUAGAUAUUACACAGAACACCGAUUGCGAAGGCAGAUCACUAACCUAAUUGACGCUGAGGAACGAAAGCGUGGGGAGCGAACAGGAUUAGAUACCCUGGUAG